CCACGCGUUUUUGCCUCCAAGCUUCCAAGCUUUCAAGUGCUCAAGUGUCCUAGCUUUCCAAAGCUUCAAAAGCUCUCCAACUUCUUCUUCUAAUCUUCUUGUUCAUCUCUACAAGUAAGAAGUGUUGUUUGUUUAAAUAUUUUACUCCUCUAAUCACCUCUUGUGUGUGUCCACUUUGGUUGAGAGGGUUGUCUCAAUAGUAACAAAGUGUGAGAGAAGGUUUUUGAGUUCAACCAUAUAUAAAGCUCUAGUUUGGUUUUAUAAAGUUUCCAGGAAAACUCUUAGGUCGAAUCUACCUUGAAAGAUUUUUAGGUUUUUAAGAGUUCUUUGAUACUCUAAGGUACUAACUUACCCGUAAAAGUUAGAGGUUCUUAAGAGUGCCCUCGAUACUCUAAGGUGUGAGUCUACCCGUAAAAGACUGGUUCCUAAGCGAAGUAGCCUUAAAGCUUAGAGAGGUUUUUAAGAGUUCCUUGAUACUCUAAGGUACUAACUUACCCGCAAAAGUUAGAGAUUCUUAAGAGUGCCCUUGAUACUCUAAGGUGUGAGUCUACCCGUAAAAGAAUGGUUCCUAAGCGAAGUAGCCUUAAAGCUUAGAGAGGUUUUUAAGAGUUUCCUUGAUACUCUAAGGUUUUGCCACAACCUUUAGGCUAGUGAAUUUCGACAGUUGGUCGGGACUGGAUUAGCCCUUGUUUGGGUGAACCAGUAUAAAUUCUGUUGUGUUGUUCUUUGUUAACUUUAGUUUAUAUUUUUCAUCUAAAAACAACUAAACAACACUUAAUUGAAAAGGAUCCCUCUUCCAGUUAUCUGGUCAAAUACAGAGGUUGACUACUUUACGCAAUUCCCUCAUCCAGUUAUCUGGUCAACUAUCUGAGGUUAUAUUCAUUGUUUUAAAUCUUUACUCAGAUAUUUGUUCAAGCAUUUACUUAUCAAAUAUAUAUCCAGUUACCUAGUCAUUUACUCUAUAUCUUGCUUAUCAAAUAUAGGGCCAGCUUCAGAUGAGAACCUGAAGCGUGAGAACCCGGUGAGAACUUUAAAUCCUUGCCCUUCAUCUACAUCCAACGGUCAUUAAUAUAAUUCAUUAUAUCUAUUUUUUGGGGGAAGAUCCCAAUGCAUAAUCUUUUUUUUGUCAUUAUUCACUAAGAACAUCCCUUUGUCCAAGGUAUUUUGUCACCAUUCACAUUUACUUUUCUCCCCUACUUUUCACCUACUUCUCACUUUUACUUUUCCCCUUCUCUCUCACUCACGUUUCCUCCCCAUCCUUCAUCCCCUUCUUAAACCCUAUUUCCUCUCAUUCCUUACCUCUAGUGUCUUCUUCCAUUUCUAUUAAUCUCUCUAUCCUCUAAAAAAAAUGGUCAUCGGCUCUCCUCUAAUAUCUGCUCAGGUAUGCUGUCCGUUUUCCCCCCCCACACUGUUUCCUUUCUCAUUUAGUUAUUUUCAUGAAUUGGGUUUACACUAUUUCUACAUUCAUCUUCAAUCUCUUUCACAGUCAACAGUACAUAGUGCACUACGCACAAUACAUAGUGCACUGUCAAUAUUCGACACUAACAUUCGCUGACGCAUUGUACAAAUUGCAUGGAUGUAGUGAACAGUGAUUUUUUAUUACAUAGUGCAUCGUCCACAGUGAAUAUCCCCAUAUCGCAUAGUACAUAGUGCAUAGCGCAUAAUACGCUAAUAGGGCAUAGCGCGUAGUACUAAGGCCGUAUCACAUAUCGCCAUAGUUCAUAUUGCAUCGUACAUAGUGCACAGUCCUAAGUAAAUAGUGAAUAGUGCAUUUCCGACAUUACGCGCAGUACAUAUUCAUACGUGCUUCCUAAUAACUACUAAAAAUUGCAGACAUAUAAUGUUGAUCAGUGCAUGUAGCCAUAGUUCAUAUUGCAUGGUACAUAGUGCACAGUGCAUAGUGAAUAGUGCAUAGUGCAUUUCCGACAUUGCGCAUAGUACAUAUUCUUACGUGCUUCCUACUUACUACUGAAAAAUUGCAGUCAUAUAAUGUUGAUCAGGAUCAUAUUCACUCGGAACCAAACAAAUUAUUUGAUAAUAACCCAUACAGAUUAGAAUAAAUUAAAAUUAAAUCAAAUACAAAUACAAAUGUUAAACAUGCCUUGUGUAGCUGUGUUCCUAGUAGCACAGAAACUAUUGGAUCCUCUAGUACACCAUAUAUUCCCGAGGUCGGCCAACAAUUCAACUCGCACGAUGAGGCCAGAGAUGCGUAUAUGGGUUACGCAGGCAAUAUAGGGUUUAACGUUCGUAUGGGUUCAACCAAAAUUAACGAUCACGAAAUGGUAGGGCGACGUUUGCUGUGUUCUAAACAAGGAUAUGCCCUGUCAACCGACACGGCAAAUAACGUGAAUGAAAGAAAACAUCAACGUAUAAGAAAUUCACGUUCUGGAUGUCUUGCCAUGAUCUACAUAUCUCUAGACCGGUCCACACGAUUAUGGAGGGUUGUUAAUUUCAUUGAAGAUCACAAUCAUCCAAUGGUAACCCCAUCAAAGAGGAGAUACCUACCAAUCAAUCGUGUUAUUACUCCUUUAUCAAAGGCAUUGUUUAAAUCACUAAACACAUCAAAUAUUUUCCCGAGUGAUCAAUAUUGUGUUGCUGCUCAAGAGACUGGAGGAUUUGAUCAUAUGCAGUACACACCAUCGGACCUAUCAAACAUGAGACGCGACGACCGAUGCAAUAUUAUUCAAAGAGACGCAGAUUUACUAAUUGAACUAUUUGAAGAAAAAAAGAACAAAUCAUCCGACUACUUUUACUCGUUCACUAGGCAUGACAACGGUAAUUUUUUGUCAUAUACGUAUUUCAAUUUUAUACAUAUCACUGCACAAAUUUUACUAUCGUACAACCAUUCAAUGUAGGUCAUCUUUCCAACCUAUUUUGGGCCGAUCCUGGUUGUCGUCAUGACUACGAUCUAUUCGGGGAUUCUAUUACAUUUGAUACGACUUACAAGACAAACAAAUAUAAUUUGGUUCUAGCACUUUUCUGUGGAGUGAAUCAUCACAAGAACACGAUUAUAUUCGCGGCCGGUUUCCUGUCACGCGAGAAUGUUGAAUCUUUCGAAUGGAUAUUCAAUGAAUUCUUAAAUUGUAUGACAAAGCAUCCGAAGACUAUUAUUACCGAUCAAGACCCUGCAAUGAAAAACGCACUAUUACACGUUUUUCCAAAUACAUUUCACCGAUUUUGUUUAUAGCACAUCACACAUAAAAUGGGUGACAAAAUUGGACAUACAUAUCAAAAUCGUUCAGCUAUAGCUGCAUUUCAUGAUUUCCUGAACAAUUCCAUCAGCAUAACGUCUUUCGAAGAAUCAUGGUCAGCAUGGGUCUUAUCCAAUGGUCUGAAAGAUAAUAUCUGGUUGAGAGACAUCUAUAGAAUUCGGUUUCAAUGGUGCCCCAUCUACAUGAUUGAUCAUUUCUUCGCAGGAAUGAAAACAACAUAACGAAGCGAAUGCAUGAAUAGUAUAGUCAAAAUGAAAAUAAGAUCUCAUUACACACUGCUAGAAUUUCACUCAAAAUACGAGUAUGUCCUAUUAUCCCUACGUGAAAAAGAAAACUCGAAGGAUCAUCAUGGUCAAUAUACACCGCAGAAAACAUUAACUCCAUUGGCCAUCGAAAGGCAAAUGUGCGAACUUUAUACACAUGAGGUAUUCAUUGACUUCCAAGAACAGGCGCUACGUAGUAUGCACUACUUCAUUAGACCAAGACACAUGGAAAAUCAGGUGACUACAACAAUAUCAAAUACUUUAUUUAUUAUUCUAACGUCAUACUAUUACAACUUCAAUUAUUUGCUUCCCUUCUUGCGCUAAUUAUCGUGCCCCUAAAAUUCUUCUUCAUAACAGGUCUUCGACGCAGUAUCCAUUGGAACAUUCGAGGUAUCAGGUACUAUCCACAUCGGGGAUGAGGGUGUGUUCGCAAAAUGCACUUGUCGUUUGUUCGAAUCAUUUGGGAUUCCAUGCAGGUACAUCAUCUGCUACCUAACGCUAAACACCAUAUCUACUUUACCAGAAACAUUGGUGUGCAAUCGCUGGAGAGCUAUACAGAGCAAAAGGCCAACGACAUCAAGCCAUAUAACCGAUUAUAAGGACACUGGAAAUCUACGGCCAUUAUUCAAUCAACUAAUCUCGUUAGUAGGAGAUAGCGAGGCCAAAAUUAUCUACGCAAGGAAAAUAUUAGAGGACGGCAUUAACUCCCUUACGGAUAACCAAACAGGAAGCAAGAUUGCGAAACUACAUCGGUCAAUAACAAGAUUCAAUGAUUCAAACACAUAAAGCAUCGAUAUUGGCAAUCCUGAGGUGGCUAGAACCAAGGGUUGCGGGAACGGAGGGCGUCCAUCCAAAAAAUCAGAUAGAUUCAUUUCCAAAAGGAUGAUCAAUAUUCCAAAACAAAGAUCGUGCUCUAUCUGUGGAAUGAAGGGACAUGACAAACGUUCAUGUCCAACAAAAGAUCAAUUUUCUCAACAAGAGUAAGAAGAAGCCAUAGAAAUCACAUGUAAUAUGGAUAUCUUUCUUUGCAAAUCAAUGUAAUUUCUACAUUCUAUUAAAUGACAACUUGUUUUUCAAAGUUAGGCAAACAAUUUAGAUACUCCAGGUUUUAGGAUAAAUUGUCAUCAUACUAACAAAACAACUAUUCAAAACACACUAGUACACAAACAAAUAUACAAAAUUAUAAAUAUCAAAACAUCUCAAUCGUCAAACGUUGUCAUCAUACGAAUUCCAUCUAACAAAGACCAUUUUGCUGCAUUCAAAUCUUUGUCUACUCCAUAUCCCACAUGACAUAAAGCUAACGCCUCAAUUGCCAACAACAUUCGCAAACCAUUAUCGUCAUCUUUACAUUUAACCUGUGUGAACCGCGGCUCAACUAUCCUAUGCCAUUCCUUUUCUUCGAAUUUGUCAAAUCGUAAUGUCAGAUACGCAUUCAUCCAACCAGCCUACAUAUCGCAGAAAGUAUAAACCACUAAAAGCAAUGCAUAAAAAAUAACAAAAAAAAUUACUGAUAUUUGAAUUUCUUUUAAUACCACUCGAAGAAAUUCACGAUAGUGCUUGGCCUGAUUCUUCCUGGAGUUAUAGUGCGUCAUUGUGCACCCAUCAAAAUUAACAGUAAGGAGAUGCCAAUGGUCACCUUGGUUUAUGGGAACAAAUAUUUUAUCAAUUUGUAAAUCAUUUACUUUAUCAGCCAUCAUCUCCAUAUAGAACUGCGUUUCCAAAUUACCACUACCACCUAUGUAUCACUUGAAUUUCUUGAAUGUGUCUGCGGGUAGAAUUUCAUAAGAUGCCCUAUCUUUACCAUCAACCACGACUUUGUUUAAUAUGACCUCCGCAUACAAGUCAAUCAACUACAACACAGUACAUGGAAUAAUAGUUAGAUAAUUCAUGAAAAAAUACGAUGCUAUACGAACAUGUAAAAACCAAUUUAAUAUUUAUAAUUGAAUAAACCUCGACACCAUAUAGCUUGCUUUCUAAAAUAUGCAAGACCUGCUCCCUAGUGCAUCGACGCCUUUGAUAUUCAAUAGUAACUCUUCUUUUACUACAAAUUUUAAAGUCAAAUUUUAAAGUCAAAAUAUAAACCAUACAUAGAUAAUUUCAAUUUACGAAACGUACCCAAUCAUCUGCAAUUCUUUCGCAAAACCUAUCCGAGAGUAUCUUUUCUUCCUCUCGUUUUUAUAUUUCUUUAGAUCAUUUUCCUCUCCCUUCAUUACAGCAGCCUCCAGUUCCGCAAUUCUCUCCCUUUCUAACCGAUUAAUCCUCUGCAACAAAAUGACAAACUUCAAUAAAAAUACAUAUGAACCAGACACGAAAAAAUAGACAUCAUCAAGUAAAUAACCUGGUGCUCUCUCCUCUUCUUAAUCCUUUGCACUCUAGACGGAACAUCUUGUUCCAACAAAUCCAGCUCUCUCGCGUUGCGGCGAAUAAUUUCCUCUCCCCAGACAACCUGCUUUUCCGAACUAUCAACACUUACCUCUACAUCAGUCCCCUUCUUGCGAACUUCGUGUGGGGAUGCACCUUCAAUUUCUAACUUCGUGUGGGGAUGCUCUACAUCAUACAUAUGCAUAGAAUCGCCCGCAUGACCCUCUACCUCACUCCACAAAUUAGGAAUCCCAUCCACAUACAUAAUAAAUCCAUCCGCGUCAACUAUGAAUGGAGUAUCCAUUUUCGGACCUCGUUCUUCGGGAUAACUAGGAAGUGUAGCGGCAAGGUAUCCAGGAUUACUUCUUCUUCUAAAAAUAUUACCCCGGCUGUCCUCACUGCAUUCAACUUGAAGUCCCCCAUGAUCUGGGUUACCAUAUAUGUCUAUUCCUGAAAGACCAGGGCAACUUGAGAAAAAAGACGUUUCCUUGGUAGAUUCGGUACCUAUUGAUUCUUCCGGACUACCAUUGCUAUCGAAGUCCAAACAGACUUCCUGAUCCUCAUUGCAAGGGUAAUACCACCAUCUAUCUGUCCCGACACAUUCAUGUUCAGAGUUUGUUUGAAUCUCAACGGAGAUGUCUGGAUCAUUAGGAUGCGGCACACUGACAUCAUCCACAUUAUCCAGAUCUUGAAGAAGGUUCCUACCUCGCAUUUGCGGGUCAACAUUAGUUUGCCUUUUAGGUUUGUUAGAUGAUUCACAACACAGAUCACGCCCGAGAAUUUCAGGAGUUCGGAGUGAGUUUGAACUAUGGGCUAGGUCGUCACUAUCAUCAGGCACACUCUCAUGGAACUCGUUCGACGUACAGUCUUCGUUGGGGCUGCUGGACUGACCUUCAGUAGACGUUUCGGUGUCCUGAUUGAACUCCAAAUGUGUGAAAAAAUAUAGAACAUAAUAAUAGACUUGGAAUUGACAAAAUCGAAAUAUUAAUUCAUCAUAUUAAUUGUCAUAUAAAGAUACUUAAUACACUAUACAUACUAUAAUAUAUAAUUUCACUAAGCAGCAUUGACUAACCCUAUAACUUCAUCUAAUAAUAAAUACAUGCAUUGCAAAUACCUAAGAUAAUCAACGUCAACCUAAUUUGGACCUAAGCGUCUCAACUAACCAUGUCCGCAUCCUCUUCUUCUAACUUGUACGUCCGAGGCACUUCAGAUACUAAGUUAGGCGGGAGCUUGCCCAGUUCAAAUUGACCGUCCAUCUUAAAGUCGACCCACCGUUGAUACGGUAGGUAUCCAUCUGGGCGACCCGGUUCAGCAACAUGUGUAUGCUCCAACGCCCAAACCUAGAACAUGCUUAAGAUUAUAUAAAUGGAUAAAUCAUUAAUUUAGUUCAGUAGUUAAAUGACAUACCAUCAAGGCAGCGGGACAACCCAUCAUAUAAACGGAGGCUGCACGACCGCCACGCUCCCUCUCGAGUACCCUUGUCCGACAAUAAUCUAUGUUCGAAAAUGUUACAUCCCGAACAGCUCCAGCCCAAUGAUAUGAAGAAAUGUCGUCUAGGUCUUCAAUGAAGCUGAUUAUCUUGCAUCGUAGUGUGCACCGAGCAUUUGUGAACAAGAAUCCUGAAAAUAAUAAACAAAGAUACAAACGGACAAUGUCGUCUUCGUCGACGUUACUAUUACACAUGCUGUUUGCCAAAUCACGGAACAUUAAACCAAUUUUCUGCCUGCAGAUCAUUCAUCGAAAAAAGAAGUUCAAUUAAAAUUCAAUUAUGUAAAAUCAUAAAUAAACAUCCACUAAAGUACCUAGUAAGAAUUUUUCCAUGUAAAUGUUGCUUGUAAAACCUCCCAAGAGCAACAUUCCCUUUGGAAGAGGCUUCUAACAAAUCGAUCUUCCGCCCGGUGUGAGGAAGACCCAAUAUUUUCCCAAAAUCUUCAUCACUGCAUGUUAGAACAAAUGCACCAAAAGAAAAUUGCGACUCGCCUAUAUAUCGGACACAAAUGUCGUCAAGCAACAUGGAAUCUACUACAAGGGCACCAGCAUCCAUGAAGUGGUGAAAUGGUAUAUACAUCAAUUUUAUCUUGACAGACGAGCUUAACCUAGCCCCAAUCCGAUCCGACAUAAUCCGGCUAAAUAUACAUUUAUGCUAGAUUAGUCCAACACCUACAACAAAUAUAAACAGGUCAUUUAUUAGUUUUUAAAUUUUUAAAAAAACAAGAAAUAAAUUAAUUAUUGAUCACAACUAACCUCUAAACGAGCCUCUUACAGUAUCGACCGACCUAAAUUCACCUCCCUCGUCGUAAGAGGCCUUCGGCUCAUCCCCCGUGUCCAUACUAGAAGGGAUGGGCUGUGGGUUAGAAGGGCCUUCACCUGCUCGAGCGCCAUGGAUAUUCGUGUGCCCGAACGCACGGUCCAAUUCAUCUCUUGCGCGAGCAUCCGCGUUCCGGUGAUGCUCCUCUCGGUGAAUUGGGUCAGCCAUGCAAUCCGGGCAGAAGCACGACACAUCAUACUGAUCAACAUUUUCUAUGACACGAAAUGGGGAAUCAGACAGAUGAUAUACUUAAAAAAAAAAUUAUAAAUAGUGCAUAGUUCAUUUCAAAAACAUAGCGGAUAGUGCAUAGUACACAAAUGAAGGGUUAAGACCAACAAAAAUAAUUAAUACAUACCAGUACUAGAAGAACUACCGAUGGCAGAUCUUUUCUUUUGGGCCUUCUUCUUAAAUAACGACCUUCAUAUAAUAUAUAAUAUUCAAAAGUCAACAGUAAAAAAUUAGAAAUAUUUGGGAGUCAUCCACAAAUCGUCAUGAGCAAAAUUGGGGAAAAUAAUAACAUUAAAACAAAUUUACAUAGGAUUCUGCGCUACCUGAAAAAUGAUCCAAAUCAAAUUCCGAACUACUAAAGUGUGUAAACCUCAAUGAAUAUACAAAUAUAAUUUAAAAUCUGUUUUAUUGAUUUAAAUUUAUAGUUACCUAAUCAUCUAGGCACAGUGCAUAGUGCAUAGUGCAUAGUGCACAAAUUGAAUAGUGCGCACAUGAACCAGACAGUACAAAUACACAUAAUCGUCUAAUACCAAAAACCAACAGUUGGGGAAUAAUAGGUUAACAAAUGAGAGUUGAGAAUUCUAGGAAUUAAAAUCAACAAAUGGGGGAAGAAAUGAUAGACCCAUAAACGUCGAUUGGGGAAAAAUAUAACUCUUUUAAAUUGGUAGAGAAGUCUAAACAAAAACAAAAGAACUGAUUGGCAGAGAGACACAACAUUAGAAAAAAAAAAUCAAUUAGACCCUAAGGACGACCAAAUAAUACUCAAUACUUUGAUUCAAACAAAAUAAUUUACAAUAUAAAAAAUUUUAGGGAUGAACAAAAUUUCACCUAAGCGUCAAACAGAUAAGGAACAACCAAACACAAUUUUAUUAGUGUAAAAAAAUGUAAAACAAAAACCAACGAUAUAUUGGGGAAGAAAUAAAUGAAAAUAUAGUAAAAAUCAUUUGGCAUGAACAAAAAAAAAUUCGACAGGGUAAUCAAGACCAUGGUAUGAAAACAGAACAGAGUGGAAUAUAGGAAACGCACCGCACAUUCGACAAUGGAGACCUGGCCGGUGCCUUCCCGUUGCGAUCACCACUGGUAUUCGACAUGAUGUUGUUGGGUUGAGGACGACGAAAAAUCACUAAACGGGAGAUGGAGUCACAGACAAAUGCGCCGCUGGAAAAAAAACGAGAAGGAGAUAGGAACGAAUGGUAAAAGCUAGGGUUGAAGAUUGAAAUACUCUAAAUAAACGCACUGUCCUCAGCACCCUACCGUCCGCUAGACACUACGUUGCACAGUGUACUAUCACUGCCGGUGUGUCAUAAACUACACAUCAUGGCAGCAAUUUAACACCAACGGUCUCCAUUCAAACGCUUUAAUUGGACGGCUCAGAUUGAGAUCGCACAUAGUGCGCAUAUAAGGGCUCUCACCAGAAGCGUUCUGAUCAAAUAUAUAUCCAUGGUCAUUUACUCUAUAAUAUAACUUGUGUUUUUAAUAUAACUUAGUAUUCAUAUACUAUAGUUGUUUAUAAAACACCAUCUGAAAAGUUGACUAUGUACUCAUAUACGGUAGUAAACUUCAAGAGAAAAGGCAAGUCCAAUAUAUAAUAUUAUAUUCUUUAAAAUCAUAUAAUAUUAUUAUAUUGCAAACAAUAUUAUACUAUUAUUAUUAUACAACCAUUUGUGUACUUAAAUGUGUGCAGGUAAUUUCGCUAUCAAUCUGCAUAAAUCAAAAAGAGGUUAUUAUCCCCCCUUAUAGUCUCGGAUCACGAUCCAACAAAUCUCACGUUUCUCCUCAUUCUCUUAGACGCACAGAAUACGCUCUACUGGCACUUAUUUUCAUAGACAUUUGGGCCCCCUCACCUGUCCGUUCAUUUCAAGGAUAUAUGUAUUACGUUAAUUUUGUAGACGCCGGCACAAAUUUUAAUUGGGUCUACCCGGUGGUGCGAAAAUCAGACGUAUAUGAUGUGUUUGAACGUUUUCACAGAUGGGUUGAAAGAUAUUCUGGAAGCGGAUCCUAGUUAUCCAAACAGACAACGCUUUGGAAUUCCAAAAACUCGGUCGGCGACUGACAGAACUUGGGAUUUCACAUCGCUUUUCCGUUCCUUAUUCCCAUCAACAGAUGGGGCAUGUAGAGCGCCGACAUCGUCAUAUCGUGAACACAAAUAUUUCUAUGUUGAAUCAGGCUAACCUUCCGUCAUCAAUGUGGGACUUUGGGGUCGUCACAACCUGUUAUCUUUAUAACAAGAAUCCUUCCUCUGUUUUACACGGCCGGUCUCCGUUCGAGACAUUAUUUGACCGGACCCCGGAGUAUGCAAAAUUGCGAGUUUUUGGCUCUCAUUGCUAUCCCUGCCUUCGCCCGUAUCGAAUGAACAAACUUGAUGUGAAAUCCAAGGCUUGUGUUUUCAUAGGCUACUCACCGGAGAACGAUGCGUAUCUGUGCAUCGAGCCAAUUUCUCGCCGGCUAUUUUCUUCACGUGAUAUAAUAUUCGAUGAAAUAAAUUUUUCCUUAAAUACAAUGUUUCACAAGGACUCGGACUGCAACCAAGAUGAAAAUAUCAAGGAAGGGUGGGCAGAUAUACUGACCAAAGCACUAGCACCAUCGACAUUCCUUUGUCUCCAGUGUCACCUCGUCGGUGUAACUCCGACGACUUAAGUAAGGAGAAUGUUAGACGAGCUAACUAAAUGUUAGACUAGUUAACUGUGUUAGUUAAUCAAUUAGUAAUAAUUACUUACUAAUAAUCAAUAGUAGUUAGUUACAAAUACUUGUAUAAAUAAACCUAUGAUACUAAUUCUAAAUUCAUUCAAGUUUUCACAAUUCACUCUAAACGUCUUCUUGACAUUGCUCGCCGGAGUUAAUUCGUUUCCGUCGAGCUCUCAACGACGGUUAAGCGUUUCUAUCACGGAGGAUACCUCUCUACAGAUGUAGAGUUAUCCUCUACAGAUGUAAAGUUCUUAAUAUUUGAAUGAUAUAUCAGAACCACAUAAUAUAUCAUCGGGUUGCUUGUUAUACAAUCUGGAAGAUGAAGCUAAGAGUCAUCUUUUCUUUAAUUGUUCUUAUUCUAGAUCUCUGUUAAUUCCGUUGGCAGAACACCUGAAUCUCGUCUUCUGAAAAUAAUGAAUAUCCCAGUUCUCACCCAAUCCAGUCCAGAUAUUAGAUUGGUGGAUCUGACGGAAGCAACACAAAAGAUUACGCAUCACUCUCCCUCUUGGGGGCUACUAUGGAAUGCUAUUGGGUGUUUGUCAUGACAUAUAUGAACAGAAAAAAAUAAAAGAUAUAGACACCACAUUAGUAGGCCUCCUGAGAUAGUCCUUAAGUAGGUCAUUAAAGACAUCAGUCUCUCCUUUGAUUCAGUGUAUUAUAAGAAAAGUUGUUGUCACCUUUUGAAGACAUCUAUGAUCGAAAUAUGGGAGACCAACCUUCUGAGACAGCGUAUCUAGUUGCUAUAUAAAUAAACUACAUAGCUAAUGGGAGAGAGUCAAUGAACUUCUUGUUCAUUUUUUAUUAUUUCUGUUUCUAUUUUUAUAUUCUAUUUUGUAAACUGAGGAUUAGUCUUAUUUUUUUAAUAAAAUUUAAUUGCUUCAAAAAAAAAUUAAGUGGAAAUGUACAAAGUAAGAUUCGAAUCCUAGAACUCAGAAUCCUUAAUAGUUUCUGAGACCAAUGGGCCAACCCUACAAUUCAAUCGAAUAUAGAAAAUCAGACAAGGAGACCCACUAUCCUUCUACAUCUUCACCCUACUAGUCCUUUCGUUAUUAAGGUUUCUAAAAGUUCAAAAUUCAAAUUUUGUUUUAUACAUAAUUUUAUUUCAAUUUUCACUAUGAUAUAACCGAUGAUAUAUAUGACACAAAUAUUUCAUUGAAAAGUAAACAUUUUUAUUUGUAAAAAAAUACUCUCUGUUAGGAGAAAAAAACAGAAGGUUUGAAAGAGAAUGCUUACCAUCUUAUUGAACCAAUAAUAUUAAUUUGCUGAAAUUCAUAGAUGAUGUCGUCUUAAAAUAGAUGAAGACAAUUAUGUCAAUUCCAUCCACAACUAAGGUUGGAAAGUGAAUGGUCACCAAUAAUUCUGAUUUAAUCUUUAAGAGAUGAAAUUACUUAAAAAAUUACAUUCAUAAUAUAUAAUCAGUAGUAUUCGGUACGUCAUACAGUACAAAUGUUAUAUUUGUCAAGUUGAUUCUGUUCAUUAAAUCGAUUUUGUUAGUGUCUUGUACAGUACCUUAUUUUAGACAUUUGAUUAAAUACUAAUUAUCACGAUUUUAUGACACACGACGACGUAUUUAAAGUAAAACGCACUUGAAUGGGUCCUGGAUCGUCUCAAAGCUAGGGCUACUUUUAGCCACAUUAGCUGGGCCGGGUUGGGUCCAACCCAAUCAGUCCAGAUAAUAUAAUCUAAUUAUAUUUUUUUAUUAAUAUUUGUUCUUAUAAGUUAUUUAAUGGUCCAACUCGGUUACUCGGCCCAUAAAUCAAUUUGCAUUAUUAAUCUUUCAGUCCCAAAUUCUAGAGUAUUUACAACUAAGGCCAAAGAUAUUAGUGACCGGGGUCAGACCGGUCAGUUCAAGCUGGUUAUGUUUGAAAAGGAGGCACACUUCUAGAACAUUGUAUCCAACGAGUUAAAUUUCAACAGUCAAGAUUAGCAACAGGUACACGUUUAUUAAAUCUUACCUCCAAGAUCAACGGUUGAGAUUCUUUAGACAGGUAGUUGAACGUGAUUGUCAUCUUUGACUUGGAUGGUCGGUCUCUCCCUGCUCUCCAUCUUUCCCGGGGAUAAAAACAAAAAGAGGGCAAGAAGAAUGCUACGUCGUCAGUAAAUCUCGUGAAAUCCACACGACUUCCGAGUUCUCUCCGGCGUGCUUCCGAGUUUUCUAUUUCAGGUAAUCUCAUCUGGUUCCUUCUAGUUUUGUUCACCUCCUACCGAUUUGUAAUGUGGGAGUUGUUGAGAUUACGCCCUCUUUUCCCACCUUUUUUAAAUAGGGGUGUUUUGAUGGGUUUUUUCCGAGCGAAUCUUGUUAGGAGGACUUGGAGAUUUCUGGAAUCGUCCGGUUCCGGUUGAUGUUGUCACGACGUUCUUGGUUCGACUUAAUGAAAUUGGUUUUUUUUUUGUUAAUUGUUUUUCUCUGUUGUGUUUAGGUAUCUACUUUUGGUUACUUCUGGAGAAGAAAUGGAUUCGUUUUUGAAUUGUCUGGUCAACGAAGCCAAUAAUAUGUCAAUUCCUCAUCAAGGAAUCGAGCGAUGCCCCUUUCUAAGAAACAUCAUUGAGCCAACACAUUUUGCGUUCGCCUCGCCUCCCAAAUUCCCAGUUCCGGUGAGUUUUUUCCCUUUCAAAUUCACUGGAUUUAACCUAAGGUUAUAAGUGGGUGGAUUGUUAAGUUUUAGCUUAAUUUCAAUGUUUCGAAUUCAGGUCCGAGGAGCUAAAGGACCGAUCUUUGAAGAUGGUCCUAAUUUCGAUACAGCAUUCAAGCUUUUCCAUGGACGAGAUGGAGUAGUUCCACUGUCUGGAAGAUUUUUAUCGCAAGAUGAAGAAGACGUGAAACCUGAGCCUAUAACUACACAGUUUAAUCCCUUGGCCGCAAAAGCAGCCACUAUUAGCAUGUCUUCCUUCGGGUUUGGCCCUGGAGGACCCUUCAGUUUUGAUUCUUUUGUCGAUAAGUUCAACAAACAAAACAAGAAUUCCUCUAAGAAUAAAAAAUCUUCCAAGGUAAAAAAUCAUCAUCAAUUGCCCAUUAUUUCCUUCCUGUUUAGUUAUGGAUAAUCUUGAUAUCAAACCUUUUUCUUUCCAUUAUUUCCUUCCUUUUUUUCAUUUAACUAUAAAUAGGCUUUUAAAUCGUGAAUCAUAGAUUAAAGAUCAGAAUCCUCCUAGUUUGGUUACUUUGGUACAUUGCAUUUGUUGAGUAAUCUCAUGUGAAUUUUUUAAUUACUUUCAGGGAGGACAUUCUUCGCAUGAGGCGAUGGGUAAUGAAUGGUUAGAGAUGGGGCAAUGUCCCAUUGCGAAAUCCUACAGGGCGGUCAAUGGUGUUGUGCCACUGGUUGCUAAGGUUUUACAACCUCCUCCCGGAAUGAAAUUUAAAUGUCCAACUGCCAUUGUGCAAGCACGCGCAGCUCUGGCUCGAACCACUUUUGUUAAGAAUCUACGACCUCAACCACUCCCUGCAAAGAUGCUGGCUAUAGCUAUGCUUGGAAUGGCAGCCAAUGUUCCUCUUGGUGUCUGGAGGGAACACACCAAGAAGUUUUCUCCUCAGUGGAUCAUAGCCGUGCACGCUGCUGUUCCCUUCAUAGCAAUGCUGAGGAAGUCGGUUGUGAUGCCAAAGACUGCCAUGGUCAUCACAAUAGCUGCUUCAAUCCUUGGUCAGACAAUUGGAUCCAGAGCUGAGAGACUCCGUCUAAAAUCAGUUGCCGAAAAAUCCUCCGACACCGUUAUCAUGAAACAAAACAGCGAGUUUGAGCCGAUUGAGCAGUUUGUGAAUGUACCCGUCACAAUCAACUCUUCUCCUUCCCCUAAACAACAAGUGUGCUGUGGAUGACAACACAUAGAAUUUAGUUUCUGUGUUUCUUCUUCUUACAUGCUUUAAUUUGCUUUGUGUGAGCAAAUUACCGAAUCAUUUUAUCUAGAAACAAAACCACAUCACUGAAUCACCCAACAUAUGUGUUUAGGGAUGAUAAAAAUAAAGACGAUUUCUUAUCUAACCUUGUUACUGUUUACUAACAUCUUAAGUUGAAUCUGUUCUGUAGCUUCUUGUAUAAACUGUAUAAGUAGAGUAAACAUUCUUUUCAUGAAAUCUGAAUAUCCUAACCGUCCAAUUAGUUAUUUAGUAAUCAUCCAAUUUUGACUAUAAUUUAAUUAGAGCACACAUCUGGUGUGCCAAAAAUUGAGUAUGUCAAAUGUGUCAUACAACGUAAUACGAUAACGAGUACAACUCGAGGAUAAUGUAAUAAACAACGUAUUGAUGAAUAUAACGUCGUUGUACAGAUCGAGUUUAGUUGUUGAUGAAUAAUGGAUUGUCGGACGACGGAUUAUGAUCUAACGACCGAAAAAAUUCGGCACACCUGAAACUAGUUCGAUUUAAUUAUUCGCAAAUCAAAACUUUGACCCCAGAUCUUAAGUUAACAGUUCCCUAAGCUGUGCGAAAGUACGACAUGAGUUUCUUAAAAAAAAUUAAUCUUAAAAUGCAAGAAGAAGUAAAGUUUGUACUUUCUAUAUUUCUAAUAGGUCUGUAUAUCGGUCGGAUUCAGCUCGGAUACUUGGUAUUCAAAUCCGUUCGAAUAAUACCAGGAUAGAAAAAUCCGAAUUCGAAUAAAUUUUCGAAUAUCCGGAAUUAUCAACUAAAUUCGAAUUUUAACGAUGGAUAUUGCAGAUAUUCUGAAUAAUUUUCGGAUAUCAUUUUGGUAUCCGAAUCUGGAUCCAAAAUCUGAAUUCGGAUAGAAUAUAUAUUCAAAUUCGAAAAUGGUAUACCUUAAUUUCUAAAGACUUGUUUGCAAGAAAAAUUAUUCUUUUGCUUGUUCCAAAAUUGAAACACACAACGUGAUCGACUUACCUUGUGUUACAUGUUUCCCACACUUAAGUACCCAACAUUAAUCAAAUUAAAUACCCAUUAAUUAAAAGUAAAAUACAGUUGAUUAAUUUUAGUUUAACAAAAAAAAAAAUUGAGGAGGUUUGGUAGUUUCAAAUGCCCACGUCGGAAACACGUUUGCUUAAUUUGACCUGUCAUUUUUCCUUGGGGAGCUAAUAGAUUGCAAAUGUUGUCAUUACCCAAGAAUAAACGUUAAUUACUAUUUAAUUACUCUGUAAUACAUACCACACGUUUCUCUCCGCCAGUCUACACCGCCCAUGGUUUCAUUUUCGGCCACAAUACGUAAGUUCAGGUGAUCGUAUUCAUAUAUACGUUUCUCAGAAUACAUGGGAGAAACCAUGGGCGCCGGCGGCCGGUGGGAAAACAAGCUGGCUCAUAUAUGCAACAUCUCAAGGAGCUGACCUUUUAUUAAUUAUCCCAAACAUGACGAUCAAUCAAACUUGGAAUAGUCAAAAAAGCUGUAUUUUAACAUGAUCUAAUCCAUGACGUAGGGAUCAAUCUGUAUUAUAAUAACAAAAAAGAAUCUAUGUUGCUUCAAUUGAAUUCCCCCUGUUGCAGCGUUUCAUCUCUCUAUAUAUACGUCAAUGCAUGCAUAAACCCUUUCUCAUAAUUCAAAGCAGCAGCAGCAGCAGCAGCAGAAGAAGAAGAAGAUGUUGAGUUCUAGGUUUACCAGUGCGAUUCUGAAACAGAUUGGGACCCGGACUGUAAUCGGACCGGCGACGGUCUUCAUGGAAAGGACGAUGAGCAGUACAGCGCAGUCUUCGUCUAAUUCUCCAACAGACUAUUGGAACAUAACUCCAACUAAAGUGAAUGAUUUGGAUGGUAAUCAUUGGAAAUGGUCUUGUUUUAGGGUAAGCAAGCAAUUAGUUUCAGUCUUUAGGGUUUUACGAUUAGAAUUUUAGGGUUUCUGAUGAAAUUUUAUUCCAGCCAAUGGAUUGCUACGCUGCAGAUAUAUCCAUAGAUAUGGAUAAACACCAUGUUCCCACAUCGAAACUCGACAAGAUUGCUCUCAGGACAAUCAAAAUCCUUCGCUUUCCAACCGAUAUUUUCUUCCAGGUAACUUUUUGGGAUUGGUUAAUUAAUUAGUUAAAGUCUCCGGCAAUCUUUUUUUUUUUUAUCGAUGUUCAAAUGAUCAUUUUGUCAUGCAGAAAAGGUACGGAUGUCGUGCGAUGAUGUUGGAAACAGUUGCGGCAGUGCCAGGUAUGGUUGCCGGAUUAUUUCUUCACCUGAAGUCCCUCCGCCGUUUCGAGCACAGUGGAGGAUGGAUAAAGACUCUUCUAGAAGAAGCAGAAAAUGAAAGAAUGCAUCUGAUGACCUUCAUGGAAGUGUCUCAACCAAAAUGGUACGAACGAGCUCUUGUCAUCACCGUUCAAGGUAUGUUCUUCAACGCCUACCUCGCCGCUUAUCUCGCCUCUCCCAAGCUCGCACAUCGUCUAGUGGGGUAUCUCGAGGAGGAAGCGAUCCAUUCCUACACUGAGUUCUUGAAGGAAUUAGACAAUGGCAACAUCGAGAACGUUCCUGCUCCUGCAAUUGCUAUAGAUUACUGGAACCUACCGGCUGAUUCAACUCUACGAGAUGUCGUUGUCUCCGUUCGUGCCGACGAAGCACAUCAUCGUGAUGUCAACCAUUUUGCAUCGGUAUGCGCCGGCCGGUGUGAUUAAUUUAAAAUUCGUUCAAACUCAUGCAUAUUUAUAUUAAUCUGAUUUUUUUCUACAGGACAUUUAUUGCAGAGGACAAGAGCUUAAAGAAAUUUCAGCUCCUCUUGGAUAUCAUUAAACCUACAGAUUAAAGUCGGAGAUUUCGCAAACAUGAAUUGAAUAAUUGAUAUACAAAAAAAAUAUACAUGUAUUUUAAUAAAAACUUUUAUUUCUAAUUAAUUUGUAUAUUGCAACUUGCAAGUAUAUAUUAAAUUAAACCAUACAUAAACCCUAAACCCAUUUCAAUUCAUAUAUACAUAUAUCAAAUAUGUAAUUUGAUUUUGAUUUUUUUAUGCUUAAUUAGCUAGUUCUCUAAAACCAAAACCCCCCUAGCUAGUUGCCGGGGCCGAUUGAUCGAAUCCGCCCGGCUUAAUUAAGCAUGUUGCUCUGGACCUCCACCAAGCAUAUUCCGGAUACGCAUCAGUGGGCAGAUAUCUUAACCAAGACGCUGUCACCCAAAUCGUUUGGUGCAUUACAAACCAAGUUGGUCGGAGAGCCGCCUCAUACUUGAGGGGGGGAGGGUGUAUUGGACCAAGUCGAUCGGAGACAUGAUCAAAAUAACUACAGACUAACUGUUUACUAUUAGUUAUUAGAUAAACAGUAAAGAAUUCAAUUGAAUGAAAUACACUUUCACUUCGAUUUACAUCUCUAGCCGGGGCCGAGUUCCUAGUUGCACUACUAAAAUGGACCAAGAUCUGGGCUCAGAUCAAGGGGCGUUCUACAUAUGUCGACCCAUUUGCGAUCGUCUGUUUUUUUUUUGUGUGAUUCAAAACCGUUGACAAUUUAUUAAUUUCAAAUCGUAAGUUAAAUGUUACUCCCUUCCAAAUCUUAAAUUUUGGUAGAUGAUCAUUUACCUUCAAAUCUUAAAAUUUACCUAUAUUGUUUUCAUUUCAUAUUUUUUUACUUUACCUAAAUUAAGUGUCAAAUGAGCCGAGUCGAGCUUUUGCUUAUAAAGUUAAACUCGGUUCGUUAAGUAGUUAUCCAGGCUUGGGCUCGAGCUCGCCGAGCUCGGGCUCGGUUCGUUUUAAAAAUUAUCAGGCUCGGACUCGAAGCUCGCGAGCCCGGACUCGAGCCCGCGAGUUUGAGCUCGAACUUUAUCUGCAGGUUAAAAUAAAUAAUUUAGAGACAUGAGGGAUCAAACCUGUGAUCUCUCGCAUGCUAAGCAAAUAUUUUACCAUCUGUGCUACAUCUCCAUUCUUUUUAAAUAUAAUAUUUUUUUAUACUUGUUACCGAGCCGAGCUUGGAAUGUUUAACGAGCUCGCGAGUUUUAUUUGACACUAACUUUACCUAUCUCGUUAAAUAUUCAAAUCAGAAUAAAAAGUGUUGGUACCAUGGACCGCGGACCGCGGCCCAUGGACCGAACCGGACCGGACGGCCCAGGCGGACGGACGGGCGGGCGGACGAGUGGACGAACGGGGCUGACCGUACAAGCCCACGAGGCCCAAUAACAACAAGUGAAGGCUAUAAAUACCUCCCCUGGCCCAACUGGGGAGGGGGUUGACAAUUCUGGAGAGCGAACACUUGGGAGAGUUGAGGUUGUGAGCUUACACCGACGAGCCCACACACCAACAAAAAGAAAUCUCAAGAACACAACACACCUUUAUAUUGUGAAUUUAAUAAAUAAAGCAUUGGGCUGGGCUUUGAUUUAUAUAUAGAUAGGAUUUAAUUUUAUGGGGCCCAGAUUUAGAGGUUUAGGGUUUAUACAAUGCAGAUAUCGGUUGUUGUUUUAUUUUUACUACAUGUUCCCUGUCGCCGCAUCUUGAGUUUGAAAAUACCAUAUUUCUUCAUAUCAGGUUUGAUUUCUUCUUCUUCUUUUAAUGAACUAAAUCCGUUUUUUUGUUUGUUCAAGAUCUGAUUUCAUGUUUCAAAAUGUAAUCUUAGUAUGUUCGAAUCUACUGUAGUUUCCACCAUUUCAAUCGUUUUGAAAUUAUCUGUGUUGUUUUUAAGUCGAGAUCAUCUCAUCUCGUUUAAUAUUUAAUAUCAUCAUCAUCAUCAAGCAGAUCAUGUCGAUUGAUUCUCUUCCAGAAGAUUGCAUCUCGAGAAUUCUCUCAUUCACCUCACCACGAGACACAUGUGGUUGUGCUACACUGUCCUCUAAUUUUCGAUCUGCGGCGGACUCCGAUCUGCGGCGGACUAUCUUGAUGUUCUGUCAAAAUCGGACAUUCCGAUUCCCAACAGUUUCGCAUCGAAAAAGGAACUCUUUUUCCGCCUUUGUGAUCCCAUCCUCAUCAAUGGUGGAAAAAAUGUAUCUACAAUUGCUUUUCAUUGAUUUAUUAUAUUGGGUCAUUAUAUUAUUGACUUAUAAAUUGAACAGAGUCUUGAAUUGGACAAAACUACUUGCAAAAUAUGCUACAUGAUUUCUGCAAAAGAACUUAAAAUCAAUAAACGUUGGAAUUAUCCAAGCCUCCCUGAAUCCAGGUUCAUUUUAAUUUUCGUUUUGUUUGAAUUUCAAAAGCUUUCUGUGGUAUCUAUUGUUGCAAAUUUUGAAUCAGGUUUGAGAAUGUGGGUAAACAAAGAGAUUGGUAUUCUCAUGGCACUUCAGAUCGUGUGAGAGCAAAGUUGCGAAUUUCCGAGUUAAUGGAGAACACAACCUAUGUUGUUUAUCUAGUUUAUCAAAUAGAGGCAACAUACUUCAAAGAAUCGGAAUUGACGUUUUUAUGUAAUAUUCCAUAUACAACUUUAAGAUUUGACGUCGAACAUGAAGAUGAGGAAGACCUUCAGGAAGAGGUUUAUUCAUGCUUGGUUCCAGACGAAGAUAUACUUAAAUUUCUCGACCAAGUUCCGAAACGCCUCGGAAUAUACCAUCUUUCAAAAGAAAAUGCUGAAAGACAGAUUCAAUAUUAUUUUCAUAGGUCAGAGUUUAGACGAGCAAUGGAUGCAGGUAAUUUCCCGGAAAAAAAGAGAAGGUAGGCAAUGGUUGGAAGUUUCGUUGGGAGAAUUUUUUAACGACAACAACGUUGUUGGAAGAAAAAAGCUGUUUGUUGAUUUUCAUUGGUCUGAUUGUGUGAAUUUGAAGUCAUUUAUUAUUGAAGGAAUUGAGUUCAGACCUAAAUAUGCGAAAAGAUUCGAGGUUCGACCACCAUCGCCUUGGGAGUAUGACCAUGAUGACGACGACAUAAACAAUGGCAACAACAUAAACAAUGGCAACAACAACAAUGACAAUAACAACAAGGCUGAUGUUGAUGAUGACGACGGCGAUGACGGCGACAAUGAUUAUAAUUAUCAUCAUGAUGACGAUGAUUAUAGUCUUGGUUAUGAUUAUGAUGAUGAUAGCGGUUCAUUCGAUGUUUAUGAUAAGUUUGGAUUUUUUUUUUUUGAAAAUAAUUAAAUUUUAUUAAAAAAAUAAGGACAAUGCUCAAUGUACAUAGAGUAUAAAAAUAUAAAAUAAAAGUAAAAAUAUGAGUAAAAAACUCAUUGACUCUCUCAUAUUAGUUAUGUAGUAGUUAUAAAAUAAUUAGAUAUGUUGUCUCAGUUUGUUAGUCUACCAUACUUUUAUCAUUGAUAUUUUUAAAAGAUGACAAUCACUCUUCUUGUAACACUCCGGGUCAAAAGAUAGACUGAUAUUCUUAAUGACUUUCUUAAAAUGUGUACUUCAGGAGGCUAUUAACGUGUUUUCUAUAUCUUUUAUUUUUCUUUGUUUAUAUAUGCUACGACAAACACUCAAUAAACAAUAACAUUCCAUAAUAGCCUUCAAAGGAGAAAGUGGUGUAUGAUUUUUUACGCAACUUCCGUAAGAUCUGUUAAUUUAAUAUCUGAACUACAUUGGGUGGGAACUGAAAUAUUCAUUAUUUUUCAGAAUAUAAAAUUCAGGUGUUCAGUCGCAUUAGAAAAGACCUGAAAUAAAAACAGUUGGAAAAAAAACAACUUCUAAAUUCAUCUUCAAAAUUGUAUAAUACGCAAGCAUAAGAUACUUGCACUCUCUAGUUUCUCAACUUUCUGAACGUAUUUAGAUAAUUUCAUUUCACCCUCAACAGGAGAAUAGAGAAUUUUGUCGACAUUUUCGACCAAAUUUUUUUGAUUUUUUUUUAUAAGAGUAUUACUUUCUAGAGUAUGAAAGAAUAAAACCACUCUGAAAAAAAAAUACUUAAUUUAAGAAUAUGGAAUCUUUUAUUAAAAAAAAUAAAAGGGAAGAAAGAAGAAUAUUCUCUUGGGAUAUAAUAAGUUUUUUUUGGACCAAAAAAGUUGGACCAAUUCAGCCAAUUGACUUAUGUCCAAUGUCCAUUGCUAUUAAAUUUAUACUUAAAUUAAAGAAACAUGUUAAAAUUAAAUUUUAGUGGGGUCUUACUUUUAAUUUUUAAUACCUAAAUUAGUAAAUUCCCUUAAUCUUAUUUCGAAAAUCAUUUAAUUUUUAAUUAUAAUUGAUUUUAAAUAGUAUUCUUUAGUAAAUAAAUAAUUAAAUACUUUUAAAAUUUUAAAAAUAAGAAUAAAAAAUAGUUUCCGUGUUCAAUUCGUAAUUGACCAUAGGUCCAUAAUAAUAGAAAAUGACUAACCUACCCUCUGCCACGUCCUUGCUUACGUAUUCUUAUUUGGUGAUUUACAGCUUUACCUUGCAAGUUAUUGAAUAUUUAAUUGGAAACAGCUACUUUCCAUGAAUCUAGUGUUGUCCAUGUUCUUCUUACAGCUCGGUAACACGACGACCAAUAAACACCUUCCCCAUUUGACCAAUUCCAUUUUGAUUUUAGUAUAAAAGCUUCCCUCACUACCCAAAUUGGAAAUCACUUUACCAACAACAACAGCAACAACAAACGACAAAUGAGCUUGAUUCGUUCCCGAUUAGCCGGUGGCGUUCUCCGACGUCUACUACUAGCGGAUGCUCCUCCGGCGGUGCAGCAGCUGCGCAGAAUUACGAUAGAGAAGAAGGUGGAGGAGGAGAAGAAGGAGGAUGUAGUGUCGAGUUAUUGGGGCGUGGAGUCGAAGAAGAUAGUGAAUAAAGACGGAACUGUUUGGCCGUGGAAGUCGUUCCGGCCAUGGGAGACGUACAAAGCGGAUGUAUCUAUAGAUCUGAGCAAGCAUCACAAACCAUCCAGCACCGGUGACAAAAUGGCGUAUUGGACGGUCAAAAUUCUCCGUUACCCAACUGACGUCUUCUUUCAACGAAGGUACGGUUGUCGGGCAAUGAUGCUGGAAACAGUAGCCGCAGUUCCAGGUAUGGUCGGAGGCAUGCUCCUCCACCUGAGAUCCCUCCGUCGGUUUGAACAGAGUGGGGGGUGGGUAAAGGCGUUGUUAGAAGAAGCGGAGAAUGAGAGAAUGCAUCUGAUGACGUUCAUGGAGGUUUCCCAACCGAGAUGGUACGAAAGAGCACUGGUUAUCUCCGUUCAAGGUGUGUUCUUCAACGCCUAUUUCCUGGCGUACUUGUUGACGCCGAAGCUCGCACACAGGAUGGUCGGGUAUCUGGAAGAAGAAGCCAUACACUCGUACACUGAGUUCUUAAAGGAGAUUGACAAUGGGAACAUCGAAAAUGUACCUGCUCCGGCCAUCGCAAUUGACUACUGGCGUCUACCGGAAGACGCGACGCUUCGUGACGUCGUGAUGGUGGUUCGUGCCGAUGAGGCGCACCAUCGUGAUGUCAACCAUUAUGCGUCGGAUGUUCAUUAUCAAGGUCACCAGCUUAGAGAAUUGCCAGCUCCCAUUGGCUACCACUAAUCUAUCUAUCUAUAUAUAUAUAUAUAUUUACGAUUGUUAUUCAGAAUAUGAUCGAUCGAUCAUAUUCAUAACAUAUAUAAGGUUAAUUUGAUUGUAUGCCUAGUUUUGCUAAUUUGAUUGCCAUGUUUAUAUUGAAAAACAAAAUAUCAUAUGCAUUUUAAUUUUAGAUUCAAAUCAAGACAUCCUUUAGAAAACCUGAUACUUAAAGAAGAAGGGAGUAUGUCUGGUGAUACAGUAUCCCGAAUUUGAUCACGACACCAGUAACUAGAGAUUCAGAUAGCCCAAGGUGAAUGAAGAUACCCAUAUAUAGCGUUGCAACUCGAGCCUACCGGUAUUCGAUUCGUUUAAAUAAACGAGCUUAUAACUCUUAAGUUUGGAUUCGAACCCGAAUCGAACCAAAUAGUUCGUUGAAUAUUGAAUUUUUUUUACAUCAUCCUAAAAAUAGACAUUAAAAAAAAUAAACUGUCUGACUAUUUUUGAAAAAUAAACUAUAAAAAAUACUCUUUAUAAUAUACUAUUAAAAAUCAACAUUAAUAUACUAUGUUAAUGAAAAAUUGCAAAAAUAUACAUAAUUUAGGAAAUAUAUAAUAUAAAUAUAUAAUAAAAAAUUAUAUAAUAUAAGUUUAUAAUAUAAAUAUAAAAUAAUAAAAUAUAAUAAAAAUGUUAAACGAACUCAACCGUUCGUCAAACCUUAACAAAGGUUUGGGUUCGGUUCGUUUAAUAACCGAACUGAACCUGAAACGAAUUGAAUAAUUCGUCGAAUACCAAACUUUUGUUGCAACGCUACUCAUAUAUAGGUUGGGAGAGGUUCCAAGUCGACUUAUGAGAAUAUCGAUUUUUCCAGGUUAACUUUAUCCAGGUCGACUUUCCUAAAGAUCAACUUUUUCAAAGAUCGACUUUUCAGAAGUCGAACUUAAAAAGUCGACCUUUAGGAAAGUCGAUUACAAAAAGUCGACUUGAAAUCAGAUCUGAGCAAUUAGACAGUUAUGACCCUAAUAAUCAUAAUAUCCCCAUAAAAAGUUCUAUAAAUAAAAUGUUACUCUCAUUUAUUUGGACAAGUUGAAUUUCAGAGAGAAACGUCAGCGAAGCAGAAUCAGAACAACUGAAAAGUUUGAGCUGAUUUUCCCACAAAUCGGAGUUUCCAGUUUGACGUUUAUUCGAAACGUCGUCGAACACUGAUCCGGUUCCACCUUCAUCAAAUCUUAAUCUUGAUUUUAAUGAUAUUUGGCGAUUUGGAAAGUGAAAUUCUAGUUUGACUUUCAUACAAAUUAAUAAUUUAAAAAAUAGUAAAAAUACCAGCCAACUAACCAAGGGUCAAACCGUCAUUUUGUCUUAGGCUUAUCUCUACGCAAUUCCCAAAUAUCGUGAGCCGCCAGGAACGAACCUCCUCAUACUUGUUCCUCAAGCAGGGGAAGAUAUUUUGGAUUUCAAUUUCUCGGGACUAUUUUAUUUUAACAUAUCUCGCUUUAAUCUCACAAUCUCAUCCGUUCAAAAACUAAUCACAGUUUAUUCAAUCUUACUCCUACUCUAAAAUCUAAAUAACCCGCGACACACCAGAACGGAAAUAAAAAUAUAAAUAAAUAAAUUUUGCCAUCGUUCUGCGACAUUUUUUAUUAAUAAACAAUCAAAAACUACGAUGAGUUAUCGUCUCUCCGGCGUGUUUUUGGGGCAUCUCGGAAAACACGUCCUCACUGCUUCCGGCGUGCAGCCACGUUUGAUCGUUGGGGUUCCUUUUUCCUUCAGAAGAGCGAGUGGUGUUUCCUCUCCCAAUCCUAGCGAUGAGGGAGGAAAACCGAAGCAAAUAGAGAGUUACUGGGGAGUUUCGCAGACGAAGCCGAUCAAGGAGGACGGGACAGUUUGGAAAUGGAAUUCUUUUAGGGUUUGCUUGUUUUCUUCUUUAAAAAAGAAUCAAAUAUAUAUAAGUUCAAAAUCCAAUGAUCUCUCUUUCGACAGCCGUGGGAGACGUACCAGUCGGAUCUAUCCAUCGAUCUCAAGAAACAUCACGUUCCGACGACUUUUCUCGAUAAAGUUGCGUUUUGGACGGUGAAGUCUCUCCGUUAUCCGACUGACAUCUUCUUCCAGGUACGUAGAUAAAAAAGAAAUCCUUCAUGGAUAUAUUUCUGAUAAUGCAAUAAACUCCGGUCCGCAGAGGAGAUACGGUUGCCGGGCGAUGAUGCUGGAAACAGUAGCCGCAGUUCCAGGUAUGGUCGGAGGCAUGCUCCUCCAUCUGAGAUCCCUCCGUCGGUUCGAACAGAGUGGAGGAUGGAUAAAAGCUCUUCUGGAAGAAGCAGAGAACGAGAGAAUGCACUUGAUGACGUUUAUGGAAGUCGCUAAACCGAAAUGGUACGAACGAGCACUGGUUAUCGCCGUUCAAGGUGUGUUCUUCAACGCUUACUUCGUCGGAUACUUGAUCUCUCCCAAAUUCGCUCAUAGAGUGGUUGGGUACUUAGAAGAAGAGGCCAUUCAUUCCUACACUGAGUUCUUGAAAGAGAUAGACAAAGGAACUAUUCCGAACGUACCUGCUCCGAGCAUCGCCGUUGAUUACUGGCGGCUGCCGAAGACUGCCACGUUGAAGGAUGUUGUCAUGGUUGUCAGAGCCGACGAGGCACAUCAUCGGGAUGUUAAUCACUUCGCGUCGGAUAUUCAUUACCAGGGACAUGAUCUGAAGAAAGCUCCAGCGCCAAUAGGCUACCAUUGAAAAAUGUCUUGCCGGAGUUUCUGUUUUCUAAAUAAAAACAAAAAAAAUGGAAUUUGUACUAUUGUAGAUUUGCAGUACACUAGUACACCAGUAUUGUUCUUACGCUUGUACCCUUUCAAUUUUGAUCCAAAAAUUACAUUUAUACCCUUGAUAAUUCGUAUAGUAUGACACGAAAAUGAUUGACACGACUAAUUUGAAAGUAAAAAAAUAUGAAAUGAAAAUAAUAUAGAUAACUCUAAGAUUGAAAGAACAAAUGAUUAUCUAAUAAAGUAUGUCUAGGAUUUGAAAGAGUAGCAUGUUCACUCUGGUGAGACCAUCGGAUUUCAAGUCUACGACGCGCACUCUACGUCAAAUCUUUCAGGAGAAAUCGACGAUUACAAGAGUGUAUAUUAGAUUUCAGUGUAUGUAUUGGAAGCUAUGAUCUAUUAUCACUGAAAUAUAAACUUGAUGAUGAUAUGAAUGUAAGUUGUGCUAAUGUAGAUAAAUGUUUAUGUAGAAAUAUUUAACGCAGUAGAUUUAUUUAAAACAGGUAUAGUUCAUGCAUUGACAAAAAAACUAUAUGACUUUAAUGAUGAUAACUAUAUGUUAUCGUUACUCAAGAGGAUGUCGCGGAUGAGUGAAGAGCGAAGAAGACGAGAUCCGAGAGCAAGAGGAGAUGACAGCGAUUGGGCACGGAAUGAACUUCGUGCAAGCGAGAGCAACGGAGAUCAGCAGAUUCCCUCUUGGGAGUAUGAGCUUUGAAUUCAAAAUAGUACAGUAACCAGUAAAUUUCUCCAUCUGUCUUCGUGUAUAUUUAUAAUCUGGGAAGCUUCUGCAACGGUCGGGAAUACGAAGAGUUUCGUGGUCCCUGGGGUGACGUGUGUUCCAUGUGGGCAUUGUCAGUCCAUGUGGACAUUUUAUUUUAAUACGUCCCCUCAAAAAAUAAGUCUUUGGACUUCUAAAGAUCUUGGUUUUUGGAUUUGUCGGUCCACUUGUAUAUAUAUUAUUCCCUUUGGUUGUCUUGGUCGGUUGCUCUUGUUUUCUAGGUUUUUUUUUGUGUGAAAGAAGGAGUUGAAGGCGGGAAGGGUUUCAAGGUCAGUGCAGGUUGUCUUUCGUCUUCUCUUCUCUUUUUUUGUUGUUCCUCGUCUUCUCUUCUUCUUCAGUCUCUUGUGUUUGCAUGUAAGUCUUCCAUUUUUAGUUUGUCUCGCAGUUCUUUGAAUAAUGAUCCAGUAAUUUCCUUGGUAAAUAUGUCGGCCACAUUCUCUUUUGUGUUGAUCUUUCUUAUGUUUAUUUCCUUUGUUAGAACCUUGUCUCUUACCGUGUGUAUAUCUAUCUCAAUAUGCUUUGUUCGUUGGUGGAGGACAGGGUUUGUUGCGAUCGCGGCCGCGGAGGAGCUGUCUGUAAACAAAAAGGUCGCAGGUAUUUCUUCAUUUAUUUCAUUCAGCAUGUUUUGUAGCCAUGUUAUUUCACAUGAUGUAUGUGCUAGUGCGCGAUAUUCGGCCUCUGCCGAUGAUCUUGAUACUGUGUUUUGCUUCUUGGUUUGCCAUGAGAUUAGGUUGUUGUUUAAGAAGAUGGCGAACCCUGUUGUUGAUCUUCGUGUUGUGGGACAAGAUGCCCAGUCCGAGUCAGAGAAGGUUUUGAUCUCAGAUGUUGUUGAUCCUGAUGAGAAAAAUAAACCAGAUCCUGGUGAGGUAUUUAUAUAUCUUAGAACUUUGUUUACCUUUCUUGUGUCUCCAUCCGUUGGUUGUGCCAUGCGCUGGCUUAGUGAGUUAUGAUGUCCGGUCUCGUUACUGUUAAGUACACCAGUCUUCCAACUAUUCUUCUAUAUUCUGUUGGGUCUUCUAGGAGUUUUUCUUUUUGAUCUUGUUUGGCUUGUUUUGAAUUUGUGUUUAUUGGAUGUUCUCCUGGCUUGGCAUGUAAAUAAUUUUGUUGUUCUAAUAUCUCAGUUGCGUAUAUUUUUUGACUCAUGAAUAUUCCUCGUUUUGUGUUUAUAAAUUCUAAUCCAAGGAAAUAUUUUAGUUUUCCUAAAUCUUUAAUGCUAAAAUAUUUAGUUAGUUCUUUCUUUAAGUUUGUAAUUCCUUUUAGAUCAUUGCAUGUUAUCAGUAGGUCGUCUACAUAUGCUAGUAUAAAAGUUUUGUUGUUUCCUUUGAUUUUGGAGAAUAAUGCAUAAUCUGAUUUGGUUUGUUUGAAUCCUAAUUCUCCUAGAACUUGGUGAAGUUUUGUGAACCACAUUCUAGAUACUUGUUUUAGGCCAUAUAAGGAUUUAAUUAGUUUGCAGGCCAACUUGCCGUUCUUGGAUGGUUCCUUAUUUAUUUUUAGUCCUUGUGGUAUGUUCAUGUAAACUUCUUCAUGAAGAUCUUCAUGUAAGAAGACAUUUUGUACAUCCAUUUGAUGUAAGUAUCAUCCAUUUGUAGAGGCUAAAGAUAUUAAUGUUUUUAGUGCUGUCAUUCUUGAUAAAGGUGCGAAGGUUUCAUUGUAGUCGAUUCCUUCCACCUGAUUGUAACAUUUGGCUACAAGUCUGGCUUUAUAUUUAUCUAAGGUUCCGUCUGCCUUUAGUUUUGUUUUGUAUACCCAUUUGCAUCCUAUUGUUUUGAUUUCUUUUGGUAUUUCCAUAAUUUUCCAUGUGUUAUUUUCUUUUAGAGCAUUUAUUUCUUUCUUCAUGGCUUCUUGCCAUUGUGGUUCUUUGCUUGCUUGUGUGUAGUUUUUAGGUUCUUUGUGUUUUGAUAUCUUGGUGAGAAAUGUUUUGUGUUUGUUUGAAAUUUUUUUGUAUUGAAUGUAAUUUUCUAUUGGAUAUUUGGUUGUGUUGUAGCAUAUGUAAUCACUUAAUUUUUCUGGUUUCCUUGUUUCUCUUGUCGGUCUUAUGUGUUUUGUUAUGUUUUCCUCAGGUUGUUUUGAUUUUUCUAUUUCCUCUUCUUGGAUUUCUUGUGUUUUGUCUUUGGGAUCAGAUUUUUCUAUGUCUGGGUUUAUUUCCUUUUCUCUGGGUUCUAUUUAUUUUUCUUGUAUGUUUUUGUCUGAGUUGAUUAUACUAUCUGUUAAGAGUAAUUCUCCUGGUAUUUCCUCUUUUCUUUCCUUGAAGGGAAAUGUUUCUUCAUGAAAUACGACAUCCCUACUAAUGAUUAUUUCUUGUGUCUCUAGGUUUAAAAUUUUGUACCAUUUAGUUAAGGUUUCAUACCCCAUGAAAACUCCUUUUAUUGCCCUUGUUUCAAAUUUUUAUUUUGGGGUGUUAACCUUGAAGAAAGCUAAACAUCCAAAGACUUUGAGGUUUUUAUAUGAUGGUUCCUUUUGGAAUAGUCUGUGAUAGGGUGUCUCAUUAUUUAUAAUGGGUGAUGAUGUCUUAUUAAUGAAAUAGCAUGCUGUCUGUACACAUUCUCCCCAGUAUGUUUCUGGUGUUCCUGAUUGGAACAUUAAACAUAUUGUAAUAUCUAGUAAAUGUCUAUGUUUUCUUUCAACUAUUGAGUUUUGCUGGGGAGUGUAUGGGCAAGACAAUUGGUGUCUUAUACCAUUUUCUUUGAGUAAAUCUUGUAAGUCUGAAUUUUUAAAUCCAGUACCAUUAUCAUUCCUAAUUGUUUUAAUGUUUGUGUCAAAUUAGUUCAUGGCUUCUUUGAUGAUUAUUUUUAGUUUGGAUGCAGUUUCUGCUUUGUUGUAUAAUAAAAUUAUCCAUGUUGCCCUACUGUAAUCAUCAAUUAUAGUUAAAAAAUAAUAAUGGUUGUUAUAUGUUGGGGUUUUAUAUUUUCCCCAUAAAUCAACAUGCAAUAGCUCAAAUAUUUUAGUUGUUUUAGAAAUACUUUUAGAGAAUGAUAAUCUGGAAAAUUUUGUUGUUGGACAUUCAAAGCAAAUAUGAUUCUUUAAGACAGAAACAUUUAAAUUAUUUUUCCUAAUAAGUGUAGAAUCAAAAUUGUCGACAUAGGAUUAUAUUUUAAUCAUGUCAAUUUAAACCUUAAUUACACUAUUAAUCAAUAGGGGUUAAAUAAGUCAAUCGAUAUUAAACCUAACUCCAGUUAAUUAAUUAAUCAUUUGAGUUAAGGGUUUAAGUCAAAUCGGGAGAAUUGCAUUUUUACUUUGAAUAUUAUUAUUUAGAAUAAUUGCAUUUUUACCUUGAAUAUUAUUAUUAUCUUUUGACACUUUAUUCAAGGUAUAAUAUUCCAAGGAGACAAAACACUAUUCAAGUUUGAAUUUAUACAAAGAUAAGAUUCUCUAACAAACUCUAUUCAAGAAAAACACUAUUCAAGAUAAGAUCAAAGACAAAGCUUGGAUUUUUGUGAGAAAUCAAUGAGCCAUCCAUUGAAGAUCCAAGGGUGGACAUUGAGUGGCCAAGGCUAUAAAUAGAAGGGUAAUCCCCUCAUUUUCACUCAUCACACUAUAAGCAAACUCAAGAGCUUUCACUCCACACUUGCCUACACGUUUUUGCUUCCAAGCUUUCAAGUACUCAAGUGUCCUAGCUUUCCAAAGCUUCAAAAGCUCUCCAACUUCUUCUUCUAAUCUUCUUGUUCAUCUCUACAAGUAAGAAGUGUUGUUUGCUUAAAUAUUCCACUUCUCUAAUCACCUCUUGUGUGUGUCCACUUUGGUUGAGAGGGUUGUCUCAAUAGUACCAAAGUGUGAGAGAAGGUUUUUGAGCUCAACCAUAAAGCUCUAGUUUAGUUUUAUAGAGUUUCCGGGAAAA
rnacentral:lncRNA from 1 species